GAAAAAGUAAAAUCACUAACUAAAAUAGUAUUUAUUUAGAAUAGUAAAAUCGAUUAUGAGACAAAUUAAAAUGUUAUAAUUUUAUAAUAUCUGUAGACUAAAAUGAGUUUUAAGCUGUUCUAAACACGCCUUUAUGUUUAGGAGGAGAAAAAAAACAUUGUUUCCAAAGUUUAAAACAUUUAAAAUACAUCACAAUAUUAUGUGUAUAUUUUGUAACUGUUUUCUUUUUCGUUGUUAACAUUGUACUAUAAAAUAUGUAUUGGUAGUUGAGUAUUAUCAUUGAUUAUAUA